rnacentral:tRNA from 1 species
GGGGAUUUAGCUCAGUGGUAGAGCGCUUGCCUAGCAAGCACAAAGCCCUGGGUUCGAUCCCCAGCUCUG